GCAGUCUCUCCCAGCUUUAGCCCUUGGUGUUGUACUGCAGUGAUGUGCCUGUGGGGUUGUUCAAUCCCAUAAGCCACUCAGGUGCUGAGAGUACCCACCAUUGGGAUGACCCAAGCUACCAAAAUAGUUUCUCCCCCCACUUUGACACCUUUCUGCUUUUCCCUAGACUGGAGUAUUGAUUAGGGAGUACCUCAGACAUGACAUUCUUGGGCUGUCCUCGAGAUUACUUUGGCAGCAGAAGAGAGCUGACUAUGUAACCAGAUGUAAGAAUUUACUUUACGCUGAGGG
rnacentral:lncRNA from 1 species